GCCUGCUGCAGCAUGGCACUGUUCCUUGGUUCCUACCGUGGCAAUGCCAGUGGUGGACUGCGACCAGUCGGCAGAGAAGACCAGCGCCUGGUAAGAGGGCAGUGUUUUGCUGUUGACUCAGGCUGGAAUCCUUGUGACUCCUUGCACUGGCAGAGUGGUUGGCCCUCGGGCCACAGCAUUGCUUGAUCACAUGAGCUUCUGACCUAUCAGCUUGGACUGUGGUGCAGUGGACCACAGUGGCAGUGACGGGUGACGGAGAAUCAGGGUUCGAUUCCGGAGAGGGAGCCUGAGAGAUGGCUACCACUACCAAGGUGGGCAGCAGGCACGCAAAUUGCCCAAUGCCAAGGCACUGCUGAGGCAGCGACGAACUGCAGCAAUCCUGCCUGUCCUCUGUGAUGGGUGGGACUUGUAAUGGAUGCAAUCCAAACACAGUGAUGAGUAUCAACUGGAGGGCAAGUCUGGUGCCAGCAGCUGCGGUAAUUCCAGCUCCAAGAGUGUAUACUGGCAUUGCUGCUGUUAAAACACUUGUAGUCCGCUGCUGGGCUCAGGUCUGCCAAGUGGCUGGUGGAGUGCCGUCUUCGGGCUGGCCUCUGCUGGAACUCAACCCUUGGCAGUAUGUUCCUGUGCCCGAACCAACGGUGGUGUGAAUUGCCCUUGCUCCAAGCCUCCUUCAGUGGAGGUUGAUGCGGUGGCAUACCCAAAGCAUGUGCCUGACGUCCGGGUCCUGGCCCUGUGCCAGGAAUCCCUGUCAACCACCAGGGUCCACUGCCUAUGAUACUGUGGAAAACUCAGUGUGCUCCAAGCAGCCUGUUGGCUGAAUGUCCGUCCAUGGAAUGUCAAAGCAUCGACUUGGUGUGGCUAUGGAGUUGUGCUGGCCUUGGUGCCCAACCAAGAGAAUGUGGUGCUUGUGCCCACUGGUUUGACUGGCCUGUUGCCUUCGGGCUAACUGUCCAGGCUGCCUCUGGGUUGCUUGCACUGAUCGACCAUGAUGGGACUGCUCGGGGUGAAGGAUACUGCAGCGCUAGAGGUGAAAUUCUUAGACCGCUGCCUGAUCAACUGCAGCGAAGGCGCUCUGCAAGUGCAUGUUCGUCGAUCAAGAAUGAGAGUGUGGGGAGCGAAGAUGAUCAGACACCGUCGUAGUCCACUACUGUAAACUAUGCCAGCACGGUGCUGAGGGUGCAAGUACAGAGACACUCCCAGCGCCAUGCCCCCUGCAACGAGAAAUCCACAUCCUGUGGGUUCAGGGGGGAGUACUGUCGCAAGGCUGAAACUUAAAGGAAUUGACGGAAUGGCACCACCAGGCGUGGAGUAUGCGGCUUAAUUUGACCCAACACGGGGAAUGUUACCAGGUCAGGACGUUGUCUGGAUGGACAGAUUGAGAGCUCUUUCUUGAUCCUUCGGAUGGUGGUGCAUGGCCGCUCCUGAUUGGUGGAGUGAUUUGUCUGGUUGAUUCCGAUAACGAGUGAGACAUCUGCCUCCCAAUAGCUCCUGUCCCGCAUCUGUAAGGUUCAGGCCUGAUCAAACCAGCUGCCUUCGGGCAGUCUGGGGAGUCAGUGCCGCCUGAGGGGCAUGG
rnacentral:rRNA from 1 species